rnacentral:rRNA from 1 species
AGCGAACGCUGGCGGCAGGCCUAACACAUGCAAGUCGAACGGAUCCUUCGGGAUUAGUGGCGGACGGGUGAGUAACACGUGGGAACGUGCCCUUUGGUUCGGAACAACUCAGGGAAACUUGAGCUAAUACCGGAUGUGCCCUUCGGGGGAAAGAUUUAUCGCCAUUGGAGCGGCCCGCGUCUGAUUAGCUAGUUGGUGAGGUAAAGGCUCACCAAGGCGACGAUCAGUAGCUGGUCUGAGAGGAUGAUCAGCCACAUUGGGACUGAGACACGGCCCAAACUCCUACGGGAGGCAGCAGUGGGGAAUCUUGCGCAAUGGGCGAAAGCCUGACGCAGCCAUGCCGCGUGAAUGAUGAAGGUCUUAGGAUUGUAAAAUUCUUUCACCGGGGACGAUAAUGACGGUACCCGGAGAAGAAGCCCCGGCUAACUUCGUGCCAGCCGCCGCGGUAA